rnacentral:rRNA from 1 species
UACGAAGGGGGCUAGCGUUGCUCGGAAUCACUGGGCGUAAAGGGUGCGUAGGCGGGUCUUUUAAGUCAGGGGUGAAAUCCUGGAGCUCAACUCCAGAACUGCCUUUGAUACUGAGGAUCUUGAGUUCGGGAGAGGUGAGUGGAACUGCGAGUGUAGAGGUGAAAUUCGUAGAUAUUCGCAAGAACACCAGUGGCGAAGGCGGCUCACUGGCCCGAUACUGACGCUGAUGCGCGAAAGCGUGGGGAGCAAACGGGG